UGGUAAAACUGAUGGACCUGCAGAAGAAACAAGACCCUUGAUUUUGGCCAGGAGUGUAUGCAGAAGGGAAGUCACAAGACAUUUUGAGAGACAGAUCAGCACAGUCAUCUAACAUUCUAAUAGUUUCAUGUACAUGGUCAUACAUGUACUCCUAGGAGAGCAACAUGUGGUUUAUCCAAACCCAACUUGGCAAAGCUUGGAAAUACUUUACCAAUAGCAGGAUGGCACCAAAUACAUAUCCCCUGGCAUGUUCAGGCACUGACCCAUUCCUACCUUUGCAGAGUGUUUUAUGAGUGACCUUUUAAAAGAAGAAGUCUGGUGGCCAGGGCAUUUUAUUCUUAUCCCUGACAAUUAAUUCUUGGCUGGUUGAUAUUGAUCAAGUCACCUCCACAUCCAGACAAAGAAAUUCAUUCCAUGACGUAUGAGGCUCCCUAACCCAUCACAUGGAGUUAACACAAACCUGGGAGUGGUGUUGGAGAGAUUUAGGUGAGAUGAUGAUGUAACUCACUCAGCACCAGGCCUGGUACCUUUGAAGUCAAGAAUGACUAUUAAUAUUCUUUGAUGUGACCCUACUGUUCUGAUAUUUCUAAAUAAAAAAAACUAGUUGCUGGGCCAGGGA